rnacentral:rRNA from 1 species
GAUGAACGCUGGCGGCGUGCCUAAUACAUGCAAGUCGAGCGAACAGACGAGGAGCUUGCUCCUCUGACGUUAGCGGCGGACGGGUGAGUAACACGUGGAUAACCUACCUAUAAGACUGGGAUAACUUCGGGAAACCGGAGCUAAUCCCGGAUAAUAUAUUGAACCGCAUUGUUCAAUAGUGAAAGACGGUUUUGCUGUCACUUAUAGAUGGAUCCGCGCCGCAUUAGCUAGUUGGUAAGGUAACGGCUUACCAAGGCGACGAUGCGUAGCCGACCUGAGAGGGUGGUAGGCCACACGGGAACGGAGACACGGUCCUGACUCCUACGGGAGGCAGCAGUAGGGAAUCUGCCGCAAUGGGCGAAAGCAUGACGGAGCAACGCCGCGUGAGUGGUGAAGGUCUUCGGAUCGUGAAACUCUGUUAUUAGGGAAGAACAAAUGUGGAAGUAACUAUGCACGUCUUGACGGUAACUAAUCAGAAAGCCACGGCUAACUACGUG